GAAGAUUUGGUUAUUGUCGUCAGUGACUUUUUUCUCUUUUUUUUUUUUUUUUUUUUUUUUUUUCUUUUUUUGUCU
rnacentral:ribozyme from 14 species